GACGAACGCUGGCGGCGUGCUUAACACAUGCAAGUCGAACGAAGUGGCGAACGGGUGAGUAACGCGUAAUCAACCUGCCCUUCAGAGGGGGAAAACAGAUGGAAACGACUGCUAAUACCGCAUACUGAAGGAGGGGAUUGCGUCUGAUUGGCUAGUGGGAGGGGGAACGGCCCACCCAGGCGAUGAUCAGUGGCCGGGCUGAGAGGCUGAACUGCCACAUUGGGACUGAGUAACGGCCCAGACUCCUACGGGAUGCAGCAGUGGGGAAUCUUCCGCAAUUGACGGAAGUCUGACGGCGCAACGCCGCGUGAGUGAUGACGGCCUUCGGGUUGUAAAGCUCUGUUAAUCGGGACGCGGUACCGGAAUAGAAAGCCACGGCUAACUACGUGCCAGCAGCCGCGGUAAUAC
rnacentral:rRNA from 1 species